UUGCUUAUAACUUUCCAAAGAAUUCUCCUUUUGGGCUUUCUGAUUUUAUUUUAAGCCCAAAGGUGAAUUUUUUGGGAAGUUUAAGCU
rnacentral:pre_miRNA from 1 species